rnacentral:rRNA from 1 species
AUUGAACGCUGGCGGCAUGCCUUACACAUGCAAGUCGAACGGCAGCGCGGGAGCAAUCCUGGCGGCGAGUGGCGAACGGGUGAGUAAUAUAUCGGAACGUGCCCAGUAGUGGGGGAUAGCCCGGCGAAAGCCGGAUUAAUACCGCAUACGACCUGAGGGUGAAAGCGGGGGAUCGCAAGACCUCGCGCUAUUGGAGCGGCCGAUAUCAGAUUAGCUAGUUGGUGGGGUAAAGGCCUACCAAGGCAACGAUCUGUAGUUGGUCUGAGAGGACGACCAGCCACACUGGGACUGAGACACGGCCCAGACUCCUACGGGAGGCAGCAGUGGGGAAUUUUGGACAAUGGGCGCAAGCCUGAUCCAGCAAUGCCGCGUGCAGGAAGAAGGCCUCGGUUGUAAGACGUCUUUGUUCUAGGGAAGAAAAGGACGUAGUGGCGUAAGUAUACCACAACGCUGCUGACGGU